rnacentral:rRNA from 1 species
UACGUAGGUGGAGAGCGUUGUCCGGAUUUACUGGGCGUAAAGCGCGCGCAGGCGGUCUUGCCAGACAGAGGUGAAAUCCCCGGGCUCAACCUGGGAACUGCCUUUGUGACUGCAAGGCUAGAGUACGGCAGAGGGGGAUGGAAUUCCGCGUGUAGCAGUGAAAUGCGUAGAUAUGCGGAGGAGCACCGAUGGCGAAGGCAAUCCCCUGGGCCUGUACUGACGCUCAUGCACGAAAGCGUGGGGAGCAAACAGG